GUUGCGGAUGAAUUGGCAUUAGCCACCAGCCGGGGAUUUUACCUUCGAUCUCGACUUCAAUGGAUUCUUCGACACAGUCACCGUCCGAACCUCCGGCAGCCUCUUCUCCUCAUCCACCUCCAGCUACAACAGUCUCCUCCGCCACAACUUCCGUUGCAGCUCCACCGCAAUCAUCCCCAAAUGCAAACCCUAAUAUCAAUCCGAGUUCAUUCCAAAAUCAGAACCCCAAUUCCAAGGCCUCAACUCCUCUGCCCAACCAGCCGUCACAACAGCAACAGUCUCUCCCCACUUCACAGCAAGUAACUAGGCCUUCCACCGCAUUGUCUGGAACUUGGCAACCGCCCUCGCAUUUCUCUCAUUUUUCUUCUCCUUCGCCUUCUGCUUCGUCUGGAGUUCCUUCACCUCGCCCUGUUGCUGCUUCUUCUCCAGCCCAAAGGGGCGGCAUCGCCAUUGGGGUUCCAGCUCACCAGCCAACUCCUUCUCCUCAGCCUGCUUCAUUUUCUGCAUCUUAUGGCCAGCACUUUGGUGGGUUGGGCCGAGGUGGCGUCAGCAUGUCGGAACCGGCCUCCAAUGCAACUCCUUCCCAGGUGAGACCUCCUAUGCAAGGAAUGCAGGGUUUGGGAAUGUUGGGAUCAAGUGGUUCUAGUUCUCAUAUGCCGCAGAGACCAGUGCAAUCCUCUCUCAGGAUGCCAUCUACCCCAAACUCAACUGCCCAAAACUUCCAAGGCCAUGGACUCUUGAGAGUUCCAUCAGCAAGUUCUCCAAGUUCUUCAUUGCCAAACACAUCACAAGGUAUGCAACCCUCCAAUCAGCCAUGGUUGCCAUCUACCUCACAAGGAAAACCACCACUUCCAACACCUUCAUAUAGACCACAGGCAAACUCACCUGCUUUGCAACAAAGAUCACAUAUCCCUCAACAACAGAACCAUCCCUUAAUUCCAGCUUCUCAGCAACAGCAAAUUUCAUCAACCCCUCAGCAACAACCUGCACAAUCACAUCAGCAGCAAGAGCAUUUUGCACAACAGUUUCAACCAUCAAGGAGUUCACAAGGCUUACCACAUCAACAACAGGCUGCAAGAGCUCAGGGGCCAGCAAACCCGAAGGCUUCUCCUCUUGCACCUUCACAAACUAGUAAUACACAGACAAUGUCCCAGAGCAGAGCUGUAAGCGCAGAAACUGAAGAACCCUGUAGUAGAAUUCUCAGCAAAAGAAGUAUUGGCGAAUUGGUUAACCAGAUUGAUCCAUCUGAAAGAUUGGAUCCUGAAGUGGAAGAUUUACUUGUUGAUCUAGCAGAAGAGUUUGUUGAAUCAAUUACGACAUUUGGUUGCUCAUUAGCAAAGCAUCGCAAAUCAACCACAUUGGAAGCAAAAGACAUCCUUCUACAUCUUGAAAAAAACUGGAAUAUAACACUUCCUGGGUUUUGCAGUGACGAGAUUAAGAUAUUCAGAAAACCGCUUACAAAUGAUACUCAUAGAGAGCGUCUUGCAGCAGUCAAAAAGUCUAUUGUGGCAAGUGAGAUGGCAAGUACCAGGAGUUCUGCCGGACAGGCCGCUGGAAAUACCAAAAGCAGUCUGGCAAAAACACCUGCAGUUUAGCAUGCUCACCAAAAGCUCCAGCUAUGUGAAUUUGUAUGAGGUAUAUACUGAUGGUACUGGAAUCGAGAAGGAAGUGUCAUGAUUUUCGACGGUGAAAGAUUGAAGAUUGAGAAUUGCGCUCCAUUGCACGUCUGUAAAGGUAGAGAGGCUAAUGGUUUGUUCAAUGCCUUUAAUCUUUAAUUUGUCAAAAGGAGAAGGUUGGAGAAUCAUUUUGACACUGUUCUGGCUACUCUAAUCUUGAAAAGAUAUUUUUGUUAACCUGUGCAAAUUUUUUAGUGAAUUAUGUUAUGACUGCUUUAGUGGCUCUGACAAUUGAUCCAGAAUUAGUUAGUCUA